UACGUAGGGUGCAAGCGUUUGUCCGGAAUUAUUGGGCGUAAAGAGCUCGUAGGCGGUCUGUCGCGUCUGCUGUGAAAACCCGCGGCUCAACCGCGGGCCUGCAGCCGAUACGGGCAGGCUAGAGUUCGGUAGGGGAGACUGGAAUUCCUGGUGUAGCGGUGAAAUGCUUAGAUAUCGGGUGGAACACCAGUGGCGAAGGCGGUUCGCUGGGCCGGAACUGACGCUGAAGAACGAAAGCGUGGGUAGCAAACAGG
rnacentral:rRNA from 1 species